UUAGAGGACUGGCAGCUCAGCAGUGCCACUGUUAAAGGUACACAUUGCUGAGGCUUUUGUAUGAAGAAAAGGAAGGUAGCUCCAAAGACUAAGUAAGUUGUUUGCUUCAAAAACAGCAAGUCUGGCAGCAUCUGUGAGGGUGAUGAUGAUCAUUGGUAGAUGAUUAUUUGCAAAGUUCCGCAUGUAGAAUACAUCGGAUGGAAAGUUAUAGAACAACGUUCACUUUGGUGGGAAAUCUGGGAGAAUCAUGUGAUACAUCCAAUGAGGCCUUUCUCAACGUUGAGAGCAACUCACUGUAUUUUCCAACAAAGUUCUGUGUGUCAAGCUUGCUGCAAGAAAUUCCCAACAUGAAAGUAGAGCAGAGGCUUGAAGACUCCAGUUCGCCACUUGAUCCUCCGGAUCUCUAUCUUGGACAUCCAGCACAAACAUCUCAGGACAUGCUUCAUGGACAGUGACUGAAUGCAUCCAACAUCCGUGAACCUUUGGCAUCAGACUCUUGCUGGCUUCUCUGCAUCAUCAUGUUCCAUCUCUGAUCCACUUAUAUUAUGUUUCUACACUUUAAAGCUGCACCUCAGAGCGCAUCAGCAACCAUCAUUGCAAUGCUGCUGCAAGGGCACAUUGCACACAGGGAUGGGAACCCAGUUCAAGGAUUAAACCUGGCUACAUUUCAGAGAUCUUCACUAGUUCUCUUUGUAAUCAUUCACCUUGAGCUCACCUGGAUGCUCAGCAUUCCUGCCUUCUGUUGUCUUACCAGUCUCGCAGUACUUCUGCCUAGCCUUGCUGUUUAACGCUAACACAUUCAGGAAGCUUGUCAUGAUUUACAGCAGUCCUCAGUAAAGUUAAGGGAAGCAGCUUUCAGACAUGGGGUCCCUGCAGAAUAAGUCAAAGGCACCCUCCGAGACCAGUUCAGGGUCUUGGACACAGUUAAUAAGUCAUGUGGCAUGGUCAGGGUCAGGCUUCUAUCCUUGCAAGGGGUGAGGAGCAGAAUGUCAAACAGCCCACCAGUGGUCUUAACUCUUUAUGCCUAUUGUGGGCUGUUUUCUUCUGGAAUGAGAGAAAGAGAGAGAACAAGUGAAAUAAAAAUGGGUGUUGGUGUAAAUGGUGUCCUGAGUGAGUGAGUGGGCAGUACAGAAGCCAUUCAGUGUUAGUGGUAUCAGGGAUUGAGAUGGGCAAAGAUGAGAAAAGGAAGAUGUUGUAUGCCCUAGUGAGAGUGGUAUGAGCAUAGCUGCCUUCCCAGCAGUUGACCUGGUUUUGAUUCCCGGCCAUUGGAAGCUGUUGCUUUGAUGGCAUGGUGGCUUAGUGGUUAGCACUGCUGCCUCACAGUGCAAGGGACCCAGGUUUGAUUCCACCCUUGGGCGACUGUGUCUACGUGGGUUUCCUCCCACAGUCCAUAGAUGUGCAGGUUAGGUGGAUUGGCCAUGCUAAAUUACCCAUGGUGUCCAGGGAUGUGUAAGCUAUGUAGGCUAGCUCAUAGUAAAAUGCAAGAUUAUAGGGAUAGGGUGGGGGUCUGGGCUCUUUGGAGUGUCAGUGUGGACUCAAUGAGCCAAAUACCCUCUUUCUGCAUUGUAGGGAUUCUAUAAUUCUUGGGUGGCACAGUGGCUCAGUGGUUAGCACUGCUGCCUCACGGCACCAGUUCAAUUCCAGCCUUGGGUGACUGUCUGUGUGCAGUUUGUACAUUCUUCCUAUGUCUGCAUGGGUGUACUCCAGUUUCCUCACACAGUCCAAAGAUGUGCAGGUUAGGUGGAUUGACCAUGCUAAAUUGUCCACAGAGUGCAGGGAUGUGUAGCUUAGGUGGAUUAGCCAUGGGAAAUGCAGUGUCACAGGAAUCGGGUGGAGGCAGGGUGCGGUUUGGGUGUCUGGAUGGGAUGGUCUUUGGAGAGCUGUUAUUGAUUUGUUGAGCCAAAUGGCCUGUUUCCGCACUGUAGGUAUUCUAUGGAUAAAGAAGCAUGAACCUUGAUCGGAGGUGGGUGUAGUAGCAGAGACAGAGUGAGUAUGAGGUCUCAGAGAAAAGGUGGUGGUGCUUAUGCUGGUGGAGCAGACAAGUUUAUUCACCUUCCUGCAUUAUUGGGCAUUCCUCCAGAUGGCUUGGUUGGCACUGACCAAGGUGGUAAUCAAACUCCAGGCUGGAAGGUUCUGGUAUCAUGGCCUCCACUGUCAGUCCUGGGGGAACAGGACAUCCCUCCUUUGCACUACCCAUGUCCACAAAGCAAGAUCUCUGCCAUGACUGGCCAAGUAAUAGGAACCAUGCAUAACAGCUCCGAAAUGAAAGUGUUUGUACAGGUGCAGAAUGGCUUUUUAUAGAUGGAGCUGGUGCCAUGGAUGCUGGUCCAUUCUGGGAUAUCCCAACAGUGGCAAGUCGUUCUGGCUUUGCCACCUGGUAGAAUCAGGCUAGCAUUGGCCAUGAAGAGAUCCAUAGAAGCAGGCAAGGUAGUUAAUGAGGCAAAUUUGGGACAGAUGACAAAAGAUCUUGCUAGGCCUUGUGGAGCAAAAGCUAUGCCAUUAAACUCAACAAAAUUUACACUUCUGCAAAUUAUGAAAAGAUUCAGCCCAUUGUUUUCACAGUACUUUCCCACACAGAUGUUAGAAGUUUCAAUAUGGGAGCAAUCAAAUUGUCCCAACAAGUCAAUGUCAGCAUUUGGAAUGCAGCUGAAACAGAGUGCAAACCUGAGAGUAUGCUAUGUAACAGAGUGAAUCUUAAAGGUAAAUUUCUUUUAUAAAAGUUAGUAUUAUUGACUUGCAAUUAGCAUGUAACUAAAAUUUGCUGCAUUAAGUUUGAACUUCCUUCCAGGCUUAGGCAGGGCUAUACAAGCUCUGUGCUGGUGAACAGACAACAUUAACUAGUUAAGUAACUGGUCUAAUCCAGUUCUGUAACUGCAAGAGAGCUCACUCAUCUAGCUCGCAGUAGCAUUUAUAAGGGAUGUUACAGUCCAACUGUAAAGAGAUGAAUCAGGUGUCUGUCCGCUCAUCAGUCGGUUCUAACUACCAAGUCAGUCAGUCAGGUGGGCCAUAGUCAUCCCGAACAAUGACAAGAAGUUAUCCUACUCUGAACAUUAGGGAAAGAGUAGCAAUCUCUGCAACAGGGUGCUAAGGACAGAUGGCCUGUGUAACUUGGUUCUUGUAGGUACAGUUACAACAUCAGUCUGUAAGACAGAUGACGAUGUAAAAAUAGAAAUAUGUUUACAAAUGUGAAUCUCUAUUUGUAAUAAAGUAUUAACUGGGCCAUCAA